rnacentral:rRNA from 1 species
GAUGAACGCUAGCUCCAGGCUUAACACAUGCAAGUCGAGGGCCCGGCGCACGGGUGAGUAACGCGUAUCCAACCUUCCCAUGACUAAGGGAUAACCUGCCGAAAGCCAGACUAAUCCCUUAUGGUUAUGGAUGGGGAUGAUUCUGAUUCGUUAGUUGGCGGGGUAACGGACCCCCAAGGCAACGAUCAGUAGGUGUUCUGAGAGUAAGGUCCCCCACAUUGGAACUGAGACACAGUCCAAAAUCCGACGGGAGGCAGCAGUGAGGAAGAUUGGUCAAUGGGCGAGGGCCUGAACCAGCCAAGUAGCGGGCAGGAUGACUGCCUAUGGGGUGUAAACUGCUUUUGUAGGGGGAUAGGUACCAUACGAAUAAGGACCGGCUAAGUCCGUGCCAGCAGCCGCGGUAAUAC